rnacentral:rRNA from 1 species
CUUUCUUUAGUGGCGGACGGGUGAGUAACGCGUAAGAAUCUUCCCUUUAGAGUGGUAUAACCAUUGGAAACGAUGGUUAAUCCCGCAUAUGAGAGUAAUCUUGAAAGGUAUAGCAAUAUAUCGCUAAAGGAUGAGCUUGCGUCUGAUUAGCUAGUUGGGGAGGUAAUGGCUCACCAAGGCGAUGAUCAGUAGCUGGUUUGAGAGAACGACUAGCCACACUGGGACUGAGACACGGCCCAGACUCCUACGGGAGGCAGCAGUGGGGAAUUUUUCGCAAUGGGCGCAAGCCUGACGGAGCAAUACUGCGUGGAGGAUGAAGGCUCGUGGGUUGUAAACUCCUUUUCCUAGAGAAGAAAACAUUGACGGUAUCUAGGGAAUAAGCAUUGGCUAACUGCGUGCCAGCAGCUGCGGUAAUACGUGGAAUGCAAGCGUUAUCCGGAUUUAUUGGGCGUAAAGCGUCUGUAGGUUGCUUCGCAAGUUUGCUGUUAAAUUGUUCGGCUCAACCGAAUCCCAGCAGCAAAAACUAUGAAGCUCGAGUGUGGUAGAGGAAAAAGGAAUUCCCUGUGGAGCGGUGAAAUGCGUAGAGAUAGGGAAGAACACCAAUGGCGAAAGCAUUUUUCUG